UACGGAGGAUGCGAGCGUUAUCCGGAUUUAUUGGGUUUAAAGGGUGCGUAGGCGGGAUGCCAAGUCAGCGGUAAAAAUGCGGUGCUCAACGCCGUCGAGCCGUUGAGACUGGCGUUCUUGAGUGGGCGAGAAGUAUGCGGAAUGCGUGGUGUAGCGGUGAAAUGCAUAGAUAUCACGCAGAACUCCGAUUGCGAAGGCAGCAUACCGGCGCCCUACUGACGCUGAGGCACGAAAGCGAGGGUAUCGAACAGG
rnacentral:rRNA from 1 species